rnacentral:tRNA from 1 species
ACCGAUGUGGCUCAGUGGAUAGAGCGUCGGCCUGUGGACCGAAGGGUCCCGGGUUCAAAUCCGGUCAAGGGCA